rnacentral:tRNA from 1 species
UCCUGGUGGUUCAGACGGUAAAGCGUCUGCCUCCAAUGCGGGAGACCCGGGUUCAAUCCCUGGAUCAGGAA